rnacentral:misc_RNA from 1 species
CAGGGUUGAAAACACCCAAACCCACUGUGAACAUACCUAACCAGCUGCUUCGGCGGGCAGGUUCCCUUCCCCCUUAGGGGGGAGGAGGGCCCUAACAGGCUUCCGUCCCUCGUUGGGCGGACGUCCCGCCGGGGGGCGAACCGAACAAACCAUUGUACUGUCAGUGAUACUCUGAGUCGGUAGGAAAACAAGUCA